rnacentral:rRNA from 1 species
UGGGGAAUCUUCCGCAAUGGACGAAAGUCUGACGGAGCAACGCCGCGUGAGUGAAGAAGGUUUUCGGAUCGUAAAACUCUGUCUUUUGGGGCGAACGUGAGUAUGGUGAACAAUCAUAGUCAGUGACGGUACCAAAGGAGGAAGCCACGGCUAACUACGUGCCAGCAGCCGCGGUAAUACGUAGGUGGCAAGCGUUGUCCGGAAUUAUUGGGCGUAAAGAGCGCGUAGGCGGGAUAGUCAGUCUGUUGUAAAGUGCGGGGCUCAACCCCGUGAUCGCAAUGGAAACAGCUAUUCUUGAGUGCAGGAGAGGAAAGUGGAAUUCCCAGUGUAGCGGUGAAAUGCGUAGAUAUUGGGAGGAACACCAGUGGCGAAGGCGACUUUCUAGACUGUGUCUGACGCUGAGGCGCGAAAGCCAGGGGAGCAAACGGGAUUAGAUACCCCGGUAGUCCUGGCCGUAAACGAUGGGUACUAGGUGUGGGAGGUAUCGACCCCUUCCGUGCCGGAGUUAACGCAAUAAGUACCCCGCCUGGGGAGUACGGUCGCAAGACUGAAACUCAAAGGAAUUGAC